rnacentral:rRNA from 1 species
GAUGAACGCUGGCGGCGUGCCUAAUACAUGCAAGUCGAGCGAACAGACGAGGAGCUUGCUCCUCUGACGUUAGCGGCGGACGGGUGAGUAACACGUGGAUAACCUACCUAUAGGACUGGGAUAACUUCGGGAAACCGGAUCUAAUACCGGAUAAUAUAUUGAACCGCAUGGUUCAAUAGUGAAAGACGGUUUUGCUGUCACUUAUAGAUGGAUCCGCGCCGCAUUAGCUAGUUGGUAAGGUAACGGCUUACCAAGGCGACGAUGCGUAGCCGACCUGAGAGGGUGAUAGGCCACCCUGGAACUGAGACACGGUCCAGACUCCUACGGGAGGCAGCAGUAGGGAUUCUUCCGAAAUGGGCGAAAGCCUGACGGAGCAACGCCGCGUGAGUGAUGAAGGUCUUCGGAUCGUAAAACUCUGUUAUUAGGGAAGAACAAAUGUGUAAGUAACUAUGCACGUCUUGACGGUACCUAAUCAGAAAGCCACGGCUAACUACGUG